CCCAAAUUGUUUUUAUUGAUUAAAAGGGCCAAGCCCAUGGCCGAAGCCCACAAACAAAAAGCCCACUAGCAAGAGGCAACUUACAACAAAGGCCGAGGCCCAAAUUGAAUUAAACGGCCCAAAGCCCCAAAUACACACAAACGGACGGUUUGCCCUAGAGGUCCACCAAGGAGACAGGCCGGACACGUGUAAACAUCUGGAGAGUCUGCACGCCACGCGUCGUCCGUCUCAACUCGAUCUCCGCCUCUUCGCACAACCGCCGAAACCAGCCACCGACAACCACUUUUCACCGGAGCUCCGAUACUGCAGAGCCUCCGCGUCACCAUAACUCUUCACGGCCGCUCUGUCUUCACGCCGGAGAGAUCGUCGUUCUAACGAGGUCUCCCCCGGCUCUGAACCACCAGAAACCCUAGAUAGGCGCGCCGCGAACCACCGCUAUCUUGGCUUAACUAUCCUCACCGUCGCUGGAAUUCUCUUCCUC
rnacentral:lncRNA from 1 species